UGGGGAAUAUUGCACAAUGGGCGAAAGCCUGAUGCAGCAACGCCGCGUGGGUGAUGAAGGCCUUCGGGUUGUAAAUCCCUUUCGGCCGAGAAGAAGUGUUAUGCGGUGAAUAGCCGUGUAAUUCGAUGGUAUCGGAAGAAGAAGCACCGGCAAACUUCGUGCCAGCAGCCGCGGUAAUACGAAGGGUGCAAGCGUUGUUCGGAAUUACUGGGCGUAAAGGGUUCGUAGGCGGGAAGAUAAGUUGAGUGUGAAAACCCUGGGCUCAACCUGGGACGUGCACUCAAAACUGUUUUUCUUGAGUAUCGGAGAGGGUGGUGGAAUUGCUGGUGUAGGAGUGACAUCCGUAGAGAUCAGCAGGAACACCGGAGGCGAAAGCGACCGCCUGGCCGAAUACUGACGCUGAGGAACGAAAGCGUGGGGAGCAAACAGG
rnacentral:rRNA from 1 species